CCUACGGGGGGCAGCAGUGGGGAAUAUUGGACAAUGGGGGCAACCCUGAUCCAGCCAUGCCGCGUGUGUGAAGAAGGCCCUCGGGUUGUAAAGCACUUUCAGUGAGGAAGAACGCCUGGUGGUUAAUACCCAUCAGGAAAGACAUCACUCACAGAAGAAGCACCGGCUAACUCCGUGCCAGCAGCCGCGGUAAUACGGAGGGUGCGAGCGUUAAUCGGAAUUACUGGGCGUAAAGCGCGCGUAGGUGGCUUGAUAAGUCGGUUGUGAAAGCCCCGGGCUCAACCUGGGAACGGCAUCCGGAACUGUCAAGCUAGAGUGCAGGAGAGGAAGGUAGAAUUCCCGGUGUAGCGGUGAAAUGCGUAGAGAUCGGGAGGAAUACCAGUGGCGAAGGCGGCCUUCUGGACUGACACUGACACUGAGGUGCGAAAGCGUGGGUAGCAAACAGGAUUAGAUACCCUUGUAGUC
rnacentral:rRNA from 1 species